CCAGGCCUGGCUGCAGCUGCAGCUGUGUUUCUCUUAGACGGUGCCAGGAAAGCAAAGAUCCUGAGGCUUGAUGCCACACCAACCCGGCUGUGAGUCCUGGCUGCAGUCCUGAUUGGCUGGAUGUGUCUGAACAGCAUGUUUAGCUUCUCCUCAACCGUCAGCCUUCCUGAAAAUGGACACCAUGUACCCUACAGGGCUGCCAGGAAGAGUGAUUAUGUAAAUAUUGAGUUGAAGGCUCCAAGGCUAUUUUUACCAAUAAUAGCCAAGUGGAUUCUCACGGCCUCUUAGGCUUGUUGUGGAGAUCAAUGAGGCCAUUUGAAUGUAUUCGGUGGUUUUGUUCUUGGCUUGUAUCCCUUGAAUCUUGUACAUGAUGGUAAAUAAUUAUCUGUUGAAUAAAUGAAUGAGUAAGUAUCAUUUCCUUUGCUAAAAUCGCUUGCCUAUGACAGAAAAGCCAAGUUUGUUAAAUAGCAACAGUCAGAAGGGCUGUAAUUGCAAGGUCAAUACCUGCCACUCCCGAUUCUCCAACUACCAACCUGUUCAGUUUCUUCUCCCCUGUUCACACUCGGAAAGAGCCAGAAUCCUUAGCCUUCACCCUAACAAUCCUGUCCUUUCUUUAUACACUCUGGGAC
rnacentral:lncRNA from 1 species